rnacentral:rRNA from 1 species
UGGGGAAUAUUGCACAUUGGAGGGAACUCUGAUGCAGCAACGCCGCGUGCGGGAUGACGGCCUUCGGGUUGUAAACCGCUUUCAGCCAUGACGAAGCUUUUGUGACGGUAGUGGUAGAAGAAGCACCGGCUAACUACGUGCCAGCAGCCGCGGUGAUACGUAGGGUGCGAGCGUUGUCCGGAAUUAUUGGGCGUAAAGAGCUUGUAGGCGGUUUGUCGCGUCGAUAGUGUAAACACGCAGCUUAACUGUGUGCCUGCUGUCGAUACGGGCUGACUAGAGGAGGGUAGGGGAGAAUGGAAUUCCCGGUGGAGCGGUGGAAUGCGCAGAUAUCGGGAGGAACACCAGUGGCGAAGGCGGUUCUCUGGACCUUUCCUGACGCUGAGAAGCGAAAGCGUGGGUAGCAAACAGG